UGAAAAAUUGAAAAAUCAGGCUUCAAAACAGGCAAGAUAAACGUUUGCUCCCCUUCUUUCUUUUUUUCUUCUUUCUUUCUU
rnacentral:ribozyme from 13 species